rnacentral:rRNA from 1 species
AAUGAACGCUGGCGGCAUGCCUAACACAUGCAAGUCGAACGAGACCUUCGGGUCUAGUGGCGCACGGGUGCGUAACGCGUGGGAAUCUGCCCUUGGGUUCGGAAUAACAGUCAGAAAUGACUGCUUAUACCGGAUGCUGCCGUAAGACCACAGAUUUAUCGCCCAAGGAUGAGCCCGCGUAGGAUUAGCUAGUUGGUGAGGUAAAAGCUCACCAAGGCGACGAUCCUUAGCUGGUCUGAGAGGAUGAUCAGCCACACUGGGACUGAGACACGGCCCAGACUCCUACGGGAGGCAGCAGUGGGGAAUAUUGGACAAUGGGCGAAAGCCUGAUCCAGCAAUGCCGCGUGAGUGAUGAAGGCCUUAGGGUUGUAAAGCUCUUUCACCCGGGAUGAUAAUGACAGUACCGGGAGAAUAAGCUCCGGCUAACUUCGUGCCAGCCGCCGCAGUAAGAC